GCUCCUUUUUCAUGUUCUAUGUUAUCUGAGGGUCACUUAUCUAUGCUGCAUGAGAGGAACAAGAGAGGGACCUUGAAGUCAGAAAAUGAUCGGCAAGUGUAACAAACAGCAACUUCUCCUUGUGACUGUUGCCAUCAUCUUGCUGUUUUCCUAUUUUCACUUUUUCCAUACCUGUCCUAAACAGAGUCUUUUCAGUUUGAUAUCAUCCAGUCCUUCUCCCUCAUCUGGUCCAUGCACCUGUCCAUCCGGCUCAGUGCUCCUCAAAGACCACGUUCCCAAGGAUCAGUAUGAAGAGCUGGUGAAACGCAGAGCCAAGGAGC